rnacentral:lncRNA from 1 species
AAAUAAAUUAAUUAAGCUCAUUGUUUUUAAUAAGAUUGUUGAAAAUAACCAUGUUUAAGGCUCCGUUUGUUUGGUAUAUGUUGCGAUGUUAGUGUUAUGGCCUAUUGUAGAAUGGAUGGUCUAGCAACUUAGUGUCUAUUUGGUACUGUUGUUGGAGAUUUUAAGAUAGAGUUUUAAGUGAUUACCAGAUACUGAACUGCCAUAUCAUGGCUGCCACACAACAAUUUCAAACAGAGCCUAAAUAACUUCAUUGCAAAAUAGUUAAAUGAAUCUAACUUAGUUUGGUCAUUUGAUUUUCAGCUGUUUAUAACAAGGAAGAUGAUGUUGCAACCUUCACAAUCAAAGCGGUUGACGAUCCGAGAACCUUGAACAAAAACCUUUACAUUCAGCCUCCCGGCAAUAUUUAUUCGUUCAAUGAUCUUGUGUCUCUGUGGGAGAGAAAGAUUGGCAAAACCCUCGAAAGGGAGUAUGUUUCAGAAGAGCAGCUCCUAAAGAAUAUUCAAGGCUAGUUAAAACUCUCACUUCUAAAUGUUAUUAAAGAAAGCCGCGAAUUUUUGCCUUAUUGAUCCUGUCUUCUCCAAAAUGUUGCAGAAGCUGCACCUCCACUCGGGAGGUUGUUAUCAAUUUAUCACUCUGCUUUCGUGGAGGGAGUUCAAACGGACUUCAAGAUUGAACCAUCGUUUGGAGUUGAAGCCUCGCAGCUUUAUCCUGAUGUCAAGUACACUACAGUUGAUGAGUACCUCAAUCAGUUUGUGUAACCCUUCUCUGCUUCCAGCUGCAGCUUGCAGGAUCUUGGACUCUGGGUAAAUAAAUAAUGGGCUUGUUGCAAUCUUUGGUUUUUAUAUGUAAAAAUUAUGGUUGUUGGCCUUACUUUCUUCUGGUUGUCAAUGGAAUUUGUAAGACCAUUUUAUGUUUGCUAUGUCAGUGAUCAAAUGAAGUAGGCCAUGUACUUGAUCUGAGAAUAAUUAUAAAGCCAACAUGGUCAGGUGAGUGCGUCUGUGGGGCUUUUAUUAGGGUGCGUGUGUGAGGCUUCUGAGGGGCUUGUGAUAUGGGGUCUACAGCCCCUAAUGGGCACGCGACUGCGUGCACUAAAUGAAGUUAUUAUAAAAAUAAUUAUAGAGUCACCAAGGCAAAAAUUAAAAGUAAUUUGCCAAUAAAAAUAGUUAAAAGUAAUAAAAAGUAGGUAUUAUAUUUCAAAAAUCAAUUUUUCAUUAAUGUUUAUAAGAUUAAAUUUGUUCUUAUCUUUCCUUAAUAAACACAAAAAUUUAUCGUUUUGGACUAAUUAAAAUUUUAAAACUAGCUAACAAGCAAACCGCCAUUAAUUUUUUUUUUUCCAUUUCUUUAAUCAUUCUUUUUUCUCUUUUUGACCUUUUUCUUUUUCUUUUCUUCAGUCCUUAUUUUUCUUUUCUUUUUUGGUUUUCCUCUAAACUCUUUAAGAAAGGCUGCCAAGCCUUGAAAAUAUCUCAAAAAAUAAGAUUUUCUUUCUUAAGAUUAACAUUUUAACCACAAAAAUAAAACUCUAGUCCAAACAUUGAGCACUUACAAAUCAAACGAUAAAAACCUCUUAUUAGUACAUUAACCGUAAAAUAAAAAAGAAUUAUCACAAAUAUUGAAAUGUUGUUGUUUGAUGCUUGAGAUUCUUGAAAUGUAUGCAGAAUUCCGACAAUAUUUUGUUGAAGCAACUCUCGGAAACUUGUUUGUUGAGAUUGAUGAAGAGUCCAUGGCAAGUAACCAGGCAUAUUGCAAUCCUUGUAAUUAUUCUGACCGAGAACAAUAAAACAAAAAGUGAAAACUGAAGAAAAUGAUAAGAAAACAAUAGAAUAAUAAUAUUAAAAACUCGCUAAUCUUGCCCAAUUUUUUUUUUUUUUGGAUAAUGUUCAGCGUAUACUAGAAUCUUUUAGAGCAGAAGCAAAACAGCAACAACUUUUCAAGAAAAGAAAAAAAAAAAGAAUUAUUAAAGAAAAUGGAAAAAAGAAUUAACGGCAGUUUAUUUGAUAGCUUUUAGAUAGCCAAAACCGGUGAGUUUUUGUGUUUUAAUAAGGAUAGUUAGGAAUAAAUUUAAUCCUCUCUAUAGAAUCAUUUAGUUACUAUGUGUCAAAAUCUCCUGUAAAGAAUAGGAAAAAUUAAAUUAGAAGAGGAUCCAAAUCAGGACUUGACUAGCUUACAGAAUCUGUAAGCUACGGACUGCAGCAUCAGCCGUUGGAUGUGGUUGGAUGUGGAGUGAGAAAUUAAACAAUAGAAGAUCGGAUGGUGGGAUGACGGGAGAUGUUUGUUACAGAAUCUGUACCAUAGACAGGUCCUCCAAAUCAUCAACAUCUUGGAAUAAACAAAAGAAUCUAAACAAAAGAAACUCGUUUUGCGUGUGAACCAGUUCAAGAUAAAGAGCAGACUAUUGGAAAGAGACAAAUACUACAAGAAUAACAAAACAUUCUACAGUUACUACAUAAGCCUGCAACAAUUAAUUAUUAACUCAAGAUUUAUUACACUUUUUCUUUAAUUUGACAAAGAAACCAAAAAUGAAAUAAAAUUGACAACAGCAAUGAUAUGCUUACAACAAUGAGUAUGAAACUUAGUACAACAAGGACCUUUUUGCUAAUUUUUUCAAAUUUUUAUGAUAUUUUAGAAUUUAUGGGUUUUAUUGAUUUUGAUAAAUUGGAGCAUUUCUCCAUUCAUCUUUUCUGCAUCUAUCCCUAAAUUUCUUAUCUUUGUAAAGUUUUAACUAUGUCUUUGUAAAGUUCUAAAUGAUUAUCUCGUUCAUAGAGAUCUAUAGUUAAAUUAAUUCUUGUAUUUAUAAUCAUUUGUCUCCUUUGAGACAUAGACCAAAUUUUUUCUUCUAACAUUCCUAUGUAUAUUCCUAAGCUAUAUUUCCAGCUUAGGUACAUCUUAUCUAGGAUUUCACAAAUAAAUUGUAAUUUGAGAUCUGCAUCUUGAAUCAACAUCACCAUAUUAUUAUUAUUAUUAUUAUUAUUAUUAUUAUCCAUUGUUUUAUACUCGAUUUUGGGUUCUAUUACUAGUCGCACUUGUCUUGGAUUAUUUCAAGGCUAGAUAGAAUUGAUUCUAUUAAUGCUAUCCUGUUUCCUUCUUCAAAUGAAUCGAAUAUUUUUGGAUCAAUAAUUCUUUUCAUUUCUUCAUACAAGUGUUUGCUUGUAAUUAAUCUAGUUUUAACUAUGGAAAUUGUAUAAGCAACUUGAUAUUCUUGACUAAAGUCUAGAUGAUCAAUUGCGUCUAGAAAUUUAUUAACAGAUCUUUCCAUUUUUAUGAAAUUGAGUUACUUUUAUCACUUCCUAUCUUAUAACAUUUCAGAAUACAAACAAGGCCCAACAUGCUUCCAUUUGUUGCUAAAAUAAAAGAAUAGAGUUCAAGAUUACUAACCAGUGUACAUUUCUCGGAAUUCUAAGAUAGAUUCACUAAUUGCCUCCAACCAUAGAGAGGUCUAUGGUUAACUCCGCCAUAGCUCCACACAUCAUAUAAGAUCACUUCAACGACUGUUACAUAGGCCCAACGCAACAUAUAGCAAACGGGCCUAAAAGAAUAUGUCUAAGUGAUUUGCUUACAGCUGUCUCUGGAAGAGUGCUUAGUAGUAGAAAAUCUUCUUCCUUUAGCACAAGUAUUGGCAUGUAAGGUUCUUGGUUAUUUUCUAAGAGUAUAUAAGAUAUCUGGAAGAUGACAAUUUCGCUCAAAAGAGUUUUAUUUAUUUCAUCAUUGAAAUUAUUUACAGAGGAUGGUUACAGAGAAUACAGGUGUAGGUGUAGGUGUAGGUGUAGGUGUAGGUGUAGGUGAAGGUUAGGCAUGUGAUGUCCUUCCCUUCUUACAUGUUUCUAUUUAUAAUCUUAAAUAGAUAAGGUUAUCUCUUUUACAUGACACUUGUUUAAUUCUCUUGGUGGAUUGUGGAUUCUUUCCUGAUAAGGUGACCCUUCUUCUUUUUAUCAUUAAAGACAGUGGUUGUCUUCUUUUCCUGGUGGUAGACAGCCUUUAUCUGGUUGUAGUGUGCUUUAUCUUUUUGGAAUCUUUCUUUUUGAAUUAUUAAUGCUUUUAGGAUAGCACCUUUUAUCUUUUCCAAUGGUUCCUGUCACAUGCCAAGUAUCAAAUCUUCCUCUAGUGACAUGUCUUCCCCACUAGAAUCCUUUUUUGAUCCUUCGUAGCAGUAGCCACAUGAUGACUGAUGUUUUAGCACCUUGCAUACCUCGUGAUGUGUCAGUAAGCUGGAUUCCACGAGAUUUUCAUAUAUUGCCUUUUUCUUUUUUGAUAUGGCCUGUCUGGCUAAAAUGCUUUCUUUUCUACUUAUAGAAAAGAUUAUAUGCUCCUUUGUGGCUUCGUGGAGCCAUAUUUUUUCCUCACUUAUCCUCUCAAGAGAUUCAUAGAGGACUUUCAUUCCUACGGCUCUUUUGCUGGUGAGAGCUUUGGGUUCGAAAAAUUCAGGAUCAUAAUCAUUAUAGACUUGAUCUAUAUCAAUAGUUGGACUAACUUUUUGCUGCUAAUUCUAACUUAAAUCAUGUGCUGUGCUACCACUUGUUUUCACCGUAUUAAGGGCAAGCAGUGAGGAUCUUGAUAAAAAUUAGUUCUUUUGUUUUGGAUAUCCUUUUGUGGUCAUUAACAGCCUCUGUAUUUUUUUCUAGGAGCUCUUUUAUUUUCCUACAAUCAUCACGGACAUAAACAAGGUUAAGAAAACCGUAUUCAAACAUGUCUUUUAUCAAUUUUGGAUAAGCUCCUAGCACAAAUUUUAUCCUUGGGUAUAACCCUGAAUGAUAUGGUAUUAUAGUCUGGUUAUGAUGAAUCACAUAAGUUAUUUUACCAAUUCUUUUAUAAUUAUAAGCGUUGUCGCUUCCUAAUGGAUUUUUAACCAUAGGAACAGACUGUCCGCUUUUAUUAUAUUGGGGCCUUAAGCUCACUGAAGACCUUUGAGAUUCUUCUUUCUUCAUAUAUUAUUCUUUGAGAUCAUUGAUUGUGAGAAAUUUCUCUAGAUGUGUGACCUUUGAGUUCUGUGAAGAACUCUGGGCAAUCUGAUCCUUAGUUUGAUCCUUAAAAUGGACCUUUUUUUAGCAUAUUACUAAUAGAUUGUUAUGAAAUUUGGACUUCUGGAUGAUUUUGCAAACUUUUCUAUAGGCAAAGUUUGCUCAAUUCUUCAUGGGCAUCAUCUAUCAUGGCAAGCCUAUUAUAAAUUAUACCAUUGCCUUUGAGAAGCAAUUCUUGACCUUCAGAGCACAUUAUUAUGCCCUUAAUUAUUUUGGAAAGACCCUUCUCCAUUGUAUUCUCGGCUAAGAAAAUUUGCAAUAGAAUUGUUAGAUCCUUUAAUAUAUUCAAUUUCAAAAUCAUAUUCAGCAAAAAAACCGUUGCCAUUUAAUUAAUCUUUUAUAUUAAGGGAGAUUAGGCAAUUUAUUAAAUAUAAAUCCUUUAACUCGAGUGUUAUCAGAUCUUACCUUGAAUUUCUUUGGUAACAAAAAAAAGUAAAUUUAGCUAUUCCAUUUUUAAUAGUUAACAGUUCAUUUUCAUUACUAUGAUAAUUCUUCUAUGCGGGUUUGAAUGUUCUGGUGGCAUAUCUACAAAUCUUUUCUUGAUCUGUUUUUAAGACUACACCCCAGUAAUUAUCUGAAGCAUCGGUCUCAAGAAUUAAAUUAUCACUAGAAGUAGGGAAUCCUAAUCUUGGAAGAUUUUUACAUUUUUCUUUCGAUUUUUUUACUACUUUGGUAUGGAGAUCUUUCCAUGAUUUAGUAUUAUUCUUUUUUAAUAAUCCUUGUAAAGAUUGUCUUUCUUUAGCUAAGUUUUCUAUGAAACCUUCAGCAUAAUUAAGAUAUCCUAAAAAUAUUUGAAUUUGUUCUUUAGAUUCUAAUUUAUUUGGGAAUAGAUAUAUUUUCCAAAAAUAUGAGGUUGCAUCUCAAUUCCUGUUUCAUCUAUUAUUAACCCUAGAAAUUCUAUCUUGAGUUUCAUUAUUUCAGCUUUCUUUUUAGGGAGUAAUAUUCCAUGUUUCUUGCAUUUCUCUGCAAAAGAAACGAGAUGAUUAAUAAGAUAUAUCUUAUUAUCUGAAAAUAUAAAAAUAUCAUCUAAAUAAACAAUGUAGAAUUCAUGAAAUUCUUUGAAGAUUUGAUCCAUCCUUCUUUCAAAUAUUUUUGGUGCAUUUUUCAAUCCAAAAGGCAUUACAAUCCAUUCAUAUUAUCCUUGAGGUGUACUAAAGGCAGUAAGUGGUAUACUUUCUACUUUAAGUUUGAUAUGUCAAAAUCCAGAUUUGCAAUCAAACUUGCUAAAUGUCUUUUUAUCGGUCACGGAGAUAAUUAAUGUAUCUUUAUAAGGUAAAAAAUAUCCAUUGAAUUUGGUAUAUUUAUUUAAUUCUUUGUAGUUAAUAACCAUGCGAGCUUUUCCUCAUUUAAUUUCUACAUGAUUUCUAACCAUAAAGGCUGGACUACUAUGAGGACUUUUAGAUUUCAAAUAAUCUUAAGUUCUAAUAACUCUUCAAUUUUUUUUAUCAAAUUCUUGUCCAUGUUCUUGCCCAUCUCUCAUAGGCUUAACUCUUAUGAUACCAUUUAGAUCUGUUAAUUCGAUCUUAGCAUAUGUUUAAUCAAUUUCUCAUAAUUGAAUUGGGUUUUCACCAAAAUUUUUAUCAAGUUUUUCUAAAAUUUUUUCAUAGUCUAACAUGAUUUGAAUGAUUUUUAUAGUGUAAUCAACACACUGACUGUGUCGAAAAUGUAAUUUUUGAGUUGUGCGCCUAACAAGGUUAUAAAUUCUCGGGGUAGUAAUGGAAUGAUUACAUGGUGUUUUGAGAGUAAUGGCUUCAUUAGUCAUUAUAUAAAUGAAUUGACGAAGGAAAUUAACUCCUAAAAGUAUAUAUGUUCCCAUAUGAUCAUAAGACCAGAAUAUAGGGAUACUUAAGAUGUAAUCUUCGAUUUGGAUUAAAGUCUUAAUCCUACAAGUCCCUAAGGUGAUCUGUUCAUCAUUUGUUCCUUAUCCUUUUAAAGGCUUAUAAUCUUUCCAAUAUGGUUUUGGAUAAAUCCUAGAACUGGCAAAACUAACUCCUAAACCAGUAUCGAUUAAAGCAUAAAACCAUUCCAGUUUAUGUUUAUAAUAUGGUAUAAUCACUUUUAUAUAAAUUAUAAAAGGAUUAGACAUAUCUUGAUAUGGUUUGCUUAAUUCCUUCAAUUGUUAUACUUAUUUCUCUAUCUCCUGUACAAUAAGGAGAGAAAUUCUAAAGAAAGUUCAUCCCUAAUAAUAAAGGAUUUAUUUCUGUUUCAUAAUAUGGUUCUAUGAAAAAAGGAAAGAUGAAUUUUGUUCCUUUUAUUUUUAAUGGUAUUUUACAAUAUUUUCUUAAUGUCUUUCUUUCUCUAUUAAAUCCUACAUAAGUAUGAGGUUCAAUUAGAAUUUUUCUUUCUAAAUAUUUAAUCAUUUUAGCAUCUACAUAAGAUUUUGUAGCUCAUGUAUCAAGGAUAGCAAAAGUCUCGUGCCAUGAUUUUCCAUUAUUAUAGUCAAUCUUAAUUUUUAGAUUUUGAUUAUUUUUUCUAAUUGUGGCUAAUAUUUCAUGUGAUGGUGGUGUCACAAGAUGACUACAUCUAGUAAAACUUUGGGUUCCUCUGAAUUUUGGUUCUCUUUUGGGUAUAGAGAAUGAUCUUUUAUGUCUUAUAAUGAUUCUUCCUUCUGGAGUAUAUUCUAUAGAUUUAGUAGUAUUUCCUUUAAUCAGAGUAGGUUGACUACUUAGAUUCAUUUUCCAUUCUUAUGAUAAAUAUAUUUCUCUCUGGAUUUCAGGAUAUUUUAUAUUUCUAACUUUACUAAAUAAUUUAUCUAUUUCAAUAAAAUAUUUAUUAGCAAACAUUUCACUAUUUGCUGAAUUUGUUAAUGCAUAUUUUAUGGCAUACAUUAUGCUAUAUGGAUAAGACCCCUCAUGCAUUAUAUCAAAGUAUUUAAAAUCAUGACAUAAGGUUAAUGUUUUAUUUAUAUUUCUAUCCCUAAGACUUAUAGAAUAUUUAGGAUAUAUCUUAAAUAUCAAUUUUUUAUAACUCAAGUUUCCUUGUAUUAUUCUAGGGACUGCAUGUUUUCGAUCUUGUAUUCUAUUAUCUAGUACUGCUAAAAUUAUUGGACUAUCUAUUCCUUCCCGAAAAUGAGCUUUUAUCAUAAACUGAAUUCCUCCAAUAUGAUCAUAUCCAAUUUUGGGUCUAUUGCUAGAUUUUAUCUUACUGAUUUUAUCUUCUAUAUCAGUCUUUAAUAAUAAUGGUAUAUUUGUAUUUCCCUUAGCAUACCUAAUUUCAAUAUGUUCUUCUCACACAGUAGCACUGAAAUACAUAACAUUUUUUCUUUUAAUCAUGGUGGCAAUUCCUAGAGCUAACUUAUUGACUGAAGUCAAGGAUGAUUCUAAUCAUUUUUUUGUUAAUCUUGAGGUAUUGUUUUUUUUUUUUAUCAAAGAUUAAUUCUUUGUUAAAAGAACCUUGUUCUUCUAAUUCUUCAUCUUGAUAUAAAUGCUUAUUAUCUAAUUCUUCUAUACUCAUUCCAAAUAUGAUUUUGAAUCUGAGCUACUUAAAGUUUCUUCAGAAAGAUAAUAUAUGCUAUCACUUUCACUAAUACCUUCACUAUCUGUGAUUAAUUCUAAAUCAUUAAAAUCCUCAAACAUUUUUAUAUUUUCUUUUUUCUUUUUAGGACAUUCAUUUGUAUAAUGCCCUUCUUCAUUACAUAACCACCACUUGCAUUCUUUAACUACAUUGGUUUUAAAUCUUCUUUUAAAUUUAUUUUUCUUGUAGAAUUUCUUCUUAUAUUUAUUUUUCUUGUAAUAUUUCUUGUUGCCUUUAAAGAAUCUCUUCUUUUUGAAUUUAUUCCUAUAUUUAUAAGUUUUAUCUGAACAUCCAAAUCUUGGUGGAUCUUCUAACUUAGAGCAAAACAAUCCUUGAUUUAGCCUUUUCAUAAGUCUGUUAUCUCUUAUUUCAGCACACCAUUCACUCAUUCUAUUUCGAGCAAACCUAAUCUUAUUUCCUAAGGUAUCAGUCUCUGUUGUAUCUUCAUAUUUGUUGUUAUAUUCUAGCAUAAUCCUUUUCUCCCAUGGGUCUGGUAUCCUUAUAAAAUAUAGAUCUUAGUAAUAGCAUAUGCUACUUUCAUCUAAUUCACAUUUAUAAUAUAAUUCUUCAAAGCUACACGUGUAUUCUUCUAAAUAACAUAUAUUACAUAUUUCAAGCCUUGUUAGUUUUAUUACAUUUUCCAUCUUUUUUUCACUUUAUUUCUUAUUGAAAACCAGUUUCUCAAUCUUCUCCUAGGAAUUUUUUUCUUAUUUCAUUUUCAAAUCUAUUUAAAACUUGAUCCAAGCUUUCAUUUUGAUUAUUAUUUUCUCCAUACAAUAUUUUAUUUUUGUUAUUAUCGUUUAGUCCCAUAAACGAAUGUGACACUAUUCCUACAAAUGAAGUUUUAAGGAAUUCUAUACUAUUAUUCCUAUCUAUUUUGUUAAAUACAAAUGCCGUUUUCAUAGAUUUAACCCAAGCGAUAAUCGUUUUAUCUCUAUCUUUGACAUAGUCUAAAUCUAACCAUACUCCAUCAUGGUUGAUUGGUCUCUCUCUAUAUUUUCCUGGAGUUUUAUAAUUUUUUUAGGCUUGUUAACCCUAAAAUAUUGAUGUUGUGAUCUUUCAUGAGCUAGUAUUUCUUCUCUAGUAUAGGAAGCUCUAUUACUAGAUUCUCCUUGUUAAAAAACCGUUGGUUUUGAUUCAUUCAUUUUUAAUUGUUCUAUUCUAUUUUCAAUAUCUCAUAAGUUAAUGAGUACAUCCUCUUCCUCUUCGGAUUUAGAUUCUUCAUUGGAUAUUUCUGGAUUGUAUAAUUCUUUUAAUCCAUUGUCUACAUUUUCACUUAGCAUCCUUAAACUUAUUAAUUUUUUAUCUUAGUUUUUUGUUAAAUAUUGUCUAGAUAUUGCUAUCAUUUCUUUAUCUUUCUUUUCGUUGUAGUAAAUUAUGGUGUCUUGUAAGGUUUUAUUUUUUUUUCUUGAAUUACCAUGAGUAAUUCUUCCAUAUUGUUAUUUAUCUUUUGUAUUUCAAUCCUUUUGUAGUUUUCUAUGAAAAAUUAUUUCUAUACACCUCUCUCCUAAUUCUAAAUAGGAGAAUAGGAUCGAUGUUUAAAUUUCUAUUCUUUAUUAUUUUGAGUUCUCCAAUUCUAAAUUCAUGAGCUCUAGAUAAAUAAAAUUGUUCUAAUUGUUUAUCAUCUAAUAUCUCAAGUUUUGAAUAAUAAUAUUGUUUAUGUUUAGUUAUGUUAUCCUUUAUAGUAUUACUAUCUACCAUUAGAUUAUAUCCCCUAUUAUUAAUAAAAUAAACAAUUGUUUCUUCCAUUUUUAUAUUUUGAACCAAAAAUCUGGUUCUGAUACCGUUUUUGCAGACAAUUUUCAAUCCUAAGAUCCAAGUAAGGAUGUAAAUGAUUAAUCUUUAAAAUCUUAUGAAUAUUUUACAAUUUUGCUUUUUUAAAACACACAGUUUUAUGCUAGGUGUUGUGCAAUCUUUUGUAAAAAUUCAUGAACCAAUACUAUAUUGACUUCUCCUAAAAUGCAUAGGUUUGUUAUGAAAUUCUAAGUGUACAACCCAAAAAGUGGGGUGAAUUGGGUUUUUAAAAAUUUAAGCAAUUAUAACCACACAAAAAUUUCAAUUAAUGUCUUAUUUGAUUCAAUAACAAUAAUUUUAACAAUGAAUAAAGUAAAGAGAUGAGGGAGAAGAGAGCAAACAUGAGAUUUUUACAUGGUUCAGCAAAACCUGCCUACGUUGACGCCUCCAAGCUCACUAUGCUUGAAGAUUUCACUAUCCAAGCAUUACAACCCUAAGGCUUCAAGAUGCUUACAAUUGAUUUCUAAGGUUUCCAUGGACCUUUACAUCCAGAGGUUCUCUCAAACCUCUUAACCAAGUGUUUCUCACACUUACAACCACUUAAUUGUGAUAUUGAAAAAAAGUUACACAAAUUUUCCACUCACACAAUAUAUGUGUUUACAACUAAAAGCCUAGAGUGUGUUUCAAUGAAAGAAUAAAAACAUUUAAGCUCAAGACAGAUUAAACAUGCAAAAGUAAGCUCAAUGCCAAUUUUUGAAUUCGUUAUUGAUUGAAUAUGAUUAAUCCUUUUGAUAGUUGGAGCUGAAAACUAGCCGUUAUUGACUUUCUGCACAAGGUCGGAUCAUCGUUAAUACUUAUCGGACUGCUGUUUUGACUUGAUCAAGUUACCGUUAGGCGAAAAUCUAAAUUUUCGGAUCACCAUUUUCGAGACAUUGAAUUGUUGUUAGUUUCUAGUAACAUUGCGAGAAAAUAGUUGGCUUACCGUUUUCAAAAUGUCAUAUCGUCGUUAGUUUCCAAAUCCAUUCGAUGUCGGUUAGCCAUUUGCUACAUUAACUGCUACAUUGAAACUAUUUUUUAAAAUUAUAUUUUUGCCAUGCUUUCUAUAAUUAUACUGUAGCCCAAAUCUUCAUAAUACUUUACAAAUAGGUCCAUUUUCAGAGUUUCAAAACAUACUUUUUAUUUCCAAAACUUUAUGAAAUUAUACUAUAACCCAAAAAUAUAUAAAAUAUUUCAAAUAGGUUCAUUUCUAGAAUUUUAAAACAAUACUUGUUGAUUUCAAAGUUCUCAAAACUUUUUAAAUUUAGAGCAUUAACUUCAAAAUAACCAAUUUCAUAAAAUCAUUUUUUUCAUUAAGAUUUAUGAAAAAUGACUUGAGCUUUUAAAUGCUUAAGCAUGCAUAUAUUUAAUCAUACUAGCUUUACAAGAAAUGUAACAAGAGAAAUCACCUAAGCUAGUACCUCUAAUGCUUGUUCUUGACUUAGUGAGCUUUUUACCUUCGUCUAUUUGAGUGCCUUGAACUUGAUCACACACACACACACACACACACACACACACACACACACACACAUAUAUAUAUAUAUAUAUAUAUAUAUAUAUAUAUAUAUAUAUAUCAUUUUAUCCUUUUAUCCUUAACACGUGGUUUGUUAUUAUCAAAACCCAAGUUCGUACAACCGCUUAGGCCAACAUGUUACUCCCAAUCAAUUGACUUCUGACAUGACUACUUCCAAAAUGGCUAGUACCAAAAGGGAAUCCUUCUGGGAUGAGAAUUGAAAAACAUGCCUCUUCUAGCACUAAAAUUACUCCUUCCACCUAUAUUUCCACUAUAAUGUCCUUAAAAUCCUCCGGCAUAUCCACCUCUUUUAGUAUUGCCUCCUAUUUGUGCAUGAUAGUAAUUAAUUAUGCCAUAGUUAUUAUGGUUAGCAAAGUUAGCACAAUUUGCAUUGAAUAUGUGUUUUUCAUUAUGACUUUGUUCAAGUCUUGCCUCUUGAGUAAGCAAUAGAGCAUACGCACCAUCAUAAUAUAACUUGCUAGCAGUAAUAAAAGUAGAUAAAUGCAGAUGGCUAGCUCCAAAACUAUUGAGAAUUUGUUAAACAUAUCUUUAUCAGAAAUAGGACUACCAACACAUGUCAAUUUAUCUGCUAUUUAUUUAAUCUUUAAGCAAUACUCUUCUAUGCUUAGUGACUUUUUUUCUCAAAGCAUUCAUCUCAUAUCUCAUUUGAAGAAUCCUACCCUCAUAAUGUUGCCUAAACUUUUUCUGUAAUGUUUUUCAUACAUCAAGUAAGGUGUUAUAAGAAUGAACAAGACCGAGAAUACCUUCAGUGAUAGAGCUGAGUAACUAGCUAAGUAAUGUGUGAUCUUGAGAUCUCCAAACAAUGAACUCAGGAUUUUCAAUCUGUUAAGUAGAUGCAGCAACUGCUCUAGCAUAGCUGAUGAAUCAAUGAAUUGAUUUGGUGCUUCAUUUUCUCUAGUUAUGUAUCCUUCGGUUUCCUCUUAUAAAAGCUAGAACUUGAUUUUGCCACAGCAUGUAAUUUGAUCAAUCGAAUGUGAUUGGAGUGAUGAAACAGAAUGUUGUUUGCAUUGAUUGAUUUGUAGAGAUUGCAAUUGAAUUUGUGCUUACAUUGCUUGAGCUUGCCAUUUUGGCUCAGAUACCAUGAAUAAAUUAUUGGAAGUUGAGUUAUAGUUGCUGUUUAACAGCUGAGAAAAUAGAGGAAAAUUCUCUGGAAAUUCUAAAUGUUUCCUAUUGAGCAAACGAAAGAUUAACAUACUAUAUAUAUACAAGUUUCUAAAUUGUUUCUAGCUAAUUUACAGUACAGCUAAUCAAUAGAUUUGAUCCAAAGUAAAACUAAUUAGUUUCACACAUAAGGAGCACGUGAAUCCAUCAUCGUUGCAUAAUCGAACAUGUUGACUUAGCUGCUGACUUGGCAUUGACAGCUGAUUUGCUUCUUUUUUGUAACUCUGGAUAGUGUGCUUUCUUCACAAGUUUCCCCAAAUCUCCAUUAUGUACAGCUUCUGCAAAAAUUUCCUAACCAAACCAUUUAUUUGUAAUUUCCUCUUGUGUUGGCCCUAUGCCAUCAUCAAGUGGUACCGUGAGAGGAUUUCCAUCUAGAUUACCCUGAUCUUUGUCUGAAUCAUAACUAGUAUGCAUAGUGUUUUCAUCCUCAUCACCCUGCGCAGCCAAAACAAAAUGCUUAACAUUACAUAUACAGUAAAACCUCUCUAUAGUCAUAUUGUUGGGAUUAAACUAAUUUUAUUAAUAUGAAGAUGUUAUAAACUUAAUGGAAAUUCAGUGACAAAUCUAUUGAUUAGCUGUGCUACUUUGAUAAUUAAUUAAUGAAGCAUGUCAAAUCUAAUGCAUUGACAUUGAUAAAAGAGGUAAACAUAUAAUUUAAAAAACUAGUACUUAUAUCUAUCAUCUGUGUAGUAUUGGGAACAUGCAAAGUCUUCUUAUUGAAAAUCUAAAGAAUAAAUUAUUAUCCAAAAUAAUUUCAGAAAAAUAUUAUAUUUCAUCUUAAAUCUUUCAUGUAACAUAGCAAAUUUUUUUUUUUUUUGCUCAAUAUACAUAUUAGUAAUACUGUGUGGAUGCGUGUUCCUUAAGAUAUGCUCUAUAAAAGUUGUUAACUUAUUACAAUGUGAAGUUUGUUCUUAUUUAUAAUUGGCUUAAAGCAGGAAUAAGAUUUUUUGUGACUAUUGGACGUUGUUCUUAUAAAAUGUAUCACUACAGAGAGAUUUUAUUAUAAUUCUAAACCGAGAAAAGAAAGUGUAAUCCUAAUAAAUCACCAUCGAUUAGAGCUAUAAUGAAUUAAGCUUUACAAAGAAGAAGAAGAAAGAUUACAAUGUGAAGGCAACAAGAAUCAUGACAAAGUGAGAAAAAGAGAGGCCACAUAAGCCCCAAGGGAAAUUGAGAUUUUAUAACACAGCCUAAUUGCAGAAAGCAUAGGCGAAAAACAGGUGCUUGAUUGCAAACAUGCACACGCGCGCGCGCACACACAAUUUGACCACAAAGACCGCAUACCUUUGAGAGUUGGUCCUCUGGGGCAUAGGCAUUUUUCGCACGUUUUCGUGCUUCCUCCUUUUAUGGCCACGUAGUUUUCGUAAGCUUGAUCAAGAAACUCCUCCAAUUGUUCAUCAUACCUAACACCAAAAAAAUGUCAUAAGAUCACAAAGGCAUAAGUUGAUAGAUAUAUUUGUCAAGAUAAUGCGACAGAAGAUAUAGGUAGAAAAGAAUUACUUUCUGCAUUCUUUAUCAGAGUCACUGUCACUGGACAAUUGCUCUUGAGUGUCUCUAUCGGGUCUCUCAUCUUCACAGCCCUCUGCAGUAGCAUUCUCAUCAUCAUCAUCAUAUUCAACAGCAGCAAGAUCUUUUUUACCCUAAACCGAUCAUUCAAGUUUAUAAAAGAAUGAGAUACUUGCCUUAGACCACACUUUUGAAUUGGAAAAAACUAAUAAAUCAAAAUUGCAACUAAUAUUGUCCUACCCAGCCAUUUUUCAUUUAUCCUGAUGUCAAGUACACUACAAUCGAUGAGUACCUCAGUCAGUUUGCGUAACCCUUCUCUGUUGAGUUGUAGCUUGCAGGAUAUUGGGAAAUAAAUAAUUGGCUUGUUGCCAUCUUUGGUUUGUAUCUGUAAACAUUAUGGUUGUUGGCCUUACCUUCUUUUGGUUUUCUAUGGAAUUUGUAGCACCAUAUUUUGUCCACUAUGUCAGUACACCAGUGAUUAAACAAAGUAGUCUCAUGUGCUUGAUCUAAAAAUAAUUAUAAAGUCACCAUGUGGUUGAUCUAAAGAUAAUUAUAAAGUCACAAACACAGAAAAAUUAAAAGUAAUUCAUAAACAUUUGUCAUGUGAAAUUUACUUAAUGGAAGAGAAAUUCUAGGAAACAACUUUAUGGUGAGAAAACUCUAAAAAUCAAACCGAAAGAUAUAUAAUAAAUAAUUUUAUAAGAAUUAGGCUAUGUUUCAAAUAAUAUCACAUAUAGUAAAUUUAUGAGUUGUCGCUCAUCAUAACUCAAUUGUUUCACAUAUUGUAAUUCUUUAAUUUUGAAUAACAACAUAUGUUUCAUAAGAUUUAAAAUGGUAUGACUCAUUUUAUAAUAUUUUUAACUGAAUUGAAAUUCUGCAACUAUAAAAAUUGAAAAGAAUGAACUUGGCGGUAUUACGCUUAUAGUAUUGUUUCUUAUGGUGAACCAAAAGCAAGCCAAAAUUACGCUUACAUCAUCUUACUCUACCGUAAAACUUAUUUAUAAUCAUAACGGUAACACUAAAUUAAUUUUAUUACUGUGAGAGUUUAAUAUUUAAUAGAGGUGUAGUUACAAAAAUUAUUAUUUUAACUUAAUUAUUUUUUGUGCAAGUGAUAUAGCGAUAAAAUAUGCACUAUAUUAAUAACUAAUUAAUACAGCAUGUCAAAUUCAAUGUACUAACAAUGAUGAAAAAGAUAGGCAUAGUUUGAAAAAAACUAGUACAUAUAUCUUUAUAGUGCUGGAAUUAUGUAAAAUCAUCUUGAAAGUCUAAAGAAUAAAUGAUUGUACAAAAUAAUUUUAGAAAAAUAUUUUACUUCAUCUUAAACCUUUAACAUAAUAAGGGAUAUAUUUUUUACAAUAUACCGAUAAUUAUUACUAUUAGAGGUAACUUUCUUAAAACCGGAUUUAAAAAAAUUAUAAUUUAUCAUAAUAUAGAGUUUAUUCUUAUUUAUAAUUAUUAGGCUUGAUAAUCGACUGGGUCGUGUUUGGGCCAUGCCAAGCUCUAGCCCAACUAGGGGUGGCAAAACGAAUAAACGAAUCGAAUUUGAAUCGAAUCGUAAACGAAUUGGGUCAAAAUUAUAUGGAUUCGGAUUCGAUUCGUUUAUUAAACGAAUUGAAAUUUCAGGAUUCAGAUUCGAUUCGGUUAUUAAACAAAUAUUCGGUUCAAUUCGUUUAAUUCGUUUAAUAGAAUUGAUAAACGAAUCGAAUCGAAUCCGGAUUCGUUUAUUAUUCGCUUAUCCUUUACGAAUCCAUAACGAAUCGAAUCGAAUCAGGAUUCGUUUACAAUUCAUUUAGAAAAAUAUAAUUAAUAAACAAAAUUAAGCAAAAAAAACACAAAUUUAAUAUCCCACAACAAAAUACAAAUAAUUCAAAUCAUAUUAUACAGUCAUCCAAAUACUAAAUUACAAAUCCUUAAUAUUACAAAUAACAAUAAUUCAAAUUCAAAUUAUAAAGAAAUGUAAUUUCUUUAAUUCUCUUCAUUUGUCUUUGUCGCCUUGAAAACAAAAAUCCUACACCAAAAAGUAAAUAAAAUGUUAUUAACAUGCUGCAAUAUUGAUAAUAGUCAUUGUAAAAUUUCAAAAAUCAAAUAUAUAGCAAAUUUGUAGCAUUUUCAAGAAAAUAAUAAUUAAACAAGAUAAAAACUUUACCUACCACACUCACACACUGUCAUUUGGAUCAUUGGCACUCUCUGCAGAUGGAGCACAAUUAGUGCUCAUGUUCAUAAUGUUUUGAGUAAGUUGGUCCACAGUGACAUCCAAAUUUUCUACAAUAAUUUUAUAAAAAUAAAUCUUAAUUAGAAACAAUUGCACAUAAUAUUAUAAAAGAAAAGUAAAUAAAUUUUAUGAGCAAGUUUUACCAAUCUCUCCAAACUUCCAAUCUCUAGUAGUAAUAAUUGCUUGAACUAUCUCUAGUAGUAAUAAUUACUUGAACUGUCUCUGGCUUCAAUACACUUCAAAAUUGAUCAAGAACUCAACCGCCAAACAACAACAAAACAACAGUAAAACAGCAACAAAAUAGCAGCAAAAUAGUAGUAAAACAACAACAAAAUAUCAGUAAAAUAGCAGUAAAACAACAACAAAAUAGUGGAAAAAUAACAAAAAAAAUGGUAGCGAAACAGCAGCCAAACAACAGCAGUAAAACAGCAGCGAAACAGCAGUAAAACGACAGUAAAAUAGCAGUAAAUCAGCAACAAAACAACAGCAAAACAGUAAUAAAACAGCAACAAAACAGCAACAAAACAACAGCAAAACGGUAAUAAAACAGCAAUAAAAGGCAAAUUUUCAGUGGUGUACCGUGAUGGUGGGUAGUUAGCGCGGCGGGAAGUGGUGCUGGGGAUGAAAACCUUCAAAUUUUAAAAAGCUUUCAAAUAAAUUUAAGGAUAAAAAAGUAAUUUAAUUAAACGAAUAAUAAACUAAUCGACCCGUAUUCGAUUGGUUUAUGACCGAUUUAUUAAACGAAUAAACGAAUCAAAAUUUUCAAACCUGCAUUCGAUUCGUUUAAUUAACGAAUCGAAUCGAAUUCACCCAUUUAUUAAACGAAUCAAUUUUUUCAAACUCAAACCCAUUUAAUUUGCAUCGAAUCGAAUCAAAUAAACGAAUCCUGACCCAUAUUGCCACCCCUGCCCAACCCUAUGAUUAAAAUGAAGGACUCUAAUACUAAAAAGCUUGACCCUUCAAACUAAAGAACAACCUGGCUUUAAUAAUUUUUUUAUAUUUUAUUUUUUUUUUUAAGAAUAUGACUCCUAUUCUUCAUUCUUUAGUAAUAUUAUUAUUAUUAUUAUUGUUCCUUUUUUUUGUUGGAUUUGUUUGUAAGGAAUUUAAUAAAUUAUUUUUUAUUUAACUUAACAACAAUAGAACGUUUAACAAUCUAACAAAAUUAAUAUAUUAACCAAGCAAUAGGUAAAUAAAUCAAAUACAAAAUAACAAAAUUAAUAUGAAAUAGAGAUAAAUAUCCCUAAAGUGUAGUUGUGACCAUCUAUGUGUAUGUGUGUUUAAUAAUAUUUUUAUUUUAAAAAUUAAUUUAAAGAUCAAGAGUUGAGUUAAAACAUUUUGGUAAAACUUUAACCCUAACCCAAAUGUAAUUAGGUCCUGAUUCCUUAAGCCCUAACCCAACGUUUAACCUUUCAAAUUCGAGUCAAAACCAUUAAAAUUAAGAUCGAAUCAAUCAAGUCGAGGGUCGGAUAAAACCUUUUUGUCAUCCUAAAAAUUACCCUAAAUUAAAAUCAAAAUUUUUUAAAAUUAUAUAAAAAUUAUUCUUAUACACAGUAACAAUAUACGACCCAACAAGAAAUGAACCUGGACGCAUUAGGGCUUUGAUCCACAAACAAACUUUCAAAACCCUCUUAGACCUCAAGAGCAUUUUAGUCCAUUUAAUCAAAAGUAAAAGUGCGGCUACCAGCUAACUCUCCGGAAUUGAACUGAACGAGUUUCAGAAAUGGCAUCGAAAAGCAAGAUUCUAUCCAUCGGCGGGACAGGGUAUAUCGGUAAAUUCAUCGUGGAAGCUAGCGUGAAAGCCGGCCACCCGACGUUCGUGCUCGUGAGGGAAUCCACAGUCUCUGGUCCUUCCAAAUCUCAGCUCCUCGACCACUUCAAAAACCUCGGCGUCAAUUUCCUUGUCGUGAGUUAUCAAUUUUUUUUUUCAUUUUUUUAAUUCCAAAUUUUGACACGUGGCGGUGUAGCCUCUACUUGAUAGACUUGGUUUUUUUUUUUAAUUUAAUUUUUGUGGGUGCUGUUAUUAUUAUGCAGGGAGAUGUUUUGAAUCACGAGAGUUUGGUGAAGGCGAUAAAACAAGUGGACGUGGUGAUAUCAACAGUUGGUCACACUUUAAUAGCCGAUCAGGUCAAGAUUAUUGCUGCCAUUAAAGAAGCCGGUAACGUUAAGGUAUGACAUAAUUAAUGUAAAUGUCUUAGAUUCCGAUCAGGAUUGUGCACUCGUGCACACGUGGUGAUUUAUUCUUCGUGUGGAGCUCGCUGUAGAGUAGAGCUCCCAGUUCCGCUAAUAAACACCCGUCACAUGCGCAAUUGCGCCUCAAAAUAAUUUAAUUAAUUAAUUAGGUAUAAACACCGAUGGCAUGAAAGCAAUUAAAAUUAGUUGAUGUUUAUAAAUUAUUUAUUACUCAGAGAUUCUUCCCAUCGGAAUUUGGAAAUGAUGUUGAUCGAGUCCAUGGCGCCGUGGAGCCAACAAAAUCGACGUAUGACGUAAAGGCGAACAUCCGCCGAGCCGUUGAGGCAGAAGGCAUUCCGUACACGUACGUAGAAUCUUAUUUUUUUGAUGGCUACUUCCUCCCUAAUUUGUUGCAGCCUGGGGCCACUGCCCCCCCUAGGGAUAAGGUUGUCAUCUUCGGCGAUGGAAAUCCAAAAGGUAACAUAAUUUAAUUAAGCUCUGUUUGUUUGGUAUGUAUUUCGGUGUUAAUGUUAUUGUCUGUUGUACAAUGGAUGGUCUUGCUUGGUACUGUUGUUGGAGAGCUGCAGUGUUUUGAUAAACACCUCUAUCCUUAGCUUUCAAGUUAAGUUGAUUUUAUACAACACUUGUUUAAUUAAAAACUUGUAAUAUUCUUACUACUUUGAUAAAAAAAAUAUUACGAUUAAAGUAUUAAUGGCACCAUAAUACGAAGUGAAUCUUAAGUGGUCAUUAUAGAUUUUAAGAUAGAGUUUUAAGUGAUUACCAGAUACUUUAGCUGCUGAACCGCCACAUCAUGGUUGCCACACAACAAUUUCAAACAGAGCCUAAAUAACUUCAUUGCAAAACAGUUAAAUGAAUCUAACUUAGUUUCGUCGUUUGAUUUUCAGCUGUUUUUAACAAGGAAGAUGAUAUUGGAACCUACACUAUCAAAGCGGUUGAUGAUCCGAGAACCUUGAACAAAAACUUUUACAUUCAGCCUCCCGGUAAUAUUUACUCAUUCAAUGAUCUUGUGUCUCUGUGGGAGAGAAAGAUUGGUAAAACCCUCGAAAA